UUAACUAGGAUUCUCACAAAUAGAAGUAUUGGCGACCAUCUGUGGUGCGGUCAAUCUCAAAGAGGAAAAGCCACACUCCUCUCUAUAUUUCCAUACAAAAACUAGUCCCAAGACACCGAAGAUGGUAGGGAUACAUACAGAUCAAUGAUCCAUUCUGAGAGAUCCUGCGAUGGCUCAAUGUCCACAUAUCAAGGACAAGUUUAGAAUGCAUCAAGAUCACAAGCCCUGAAGAAACAGGAAAAUAUCAAGCAAAUAUCAUGGCAUAACUAAAAGGGAAGUAAAUCAAAAUAUAUUUCUCUGCCAUAUAUAAUAUUGGUUGAUAUAUACAUCUGUACUAUAC
rnacentral:lncRNA from 1 species